rnacentral:rRNA from 1 species
UUAAGCGACUAAGCGUACACGGUGGAUGCCCUGGCAGUCAGAGGCGAUGAAGGACGUGCUAAUCUGCGAUAAGCGUCGGUAAGGUGAUAUGAACCGUUAUAACCGGCGAUUUCCGAAUGGGGAAACCCAGUGUGUUUCGACACACUAUCAUUAACUGAAUCCAUAGGUUAAUGAGGCGAACCGGGGGAACUGAAACAUCUAAGUACCCCGAGGAAAAGAAAUCAACCGAGAUUCCCCCAGUAGCGGCGAGCGAACGGGGAGGAGCCCAGAGCCUGAAUCAGUGUGUGUGUUAGUGGAAGCGUCUGGAAAGGCGCGCGAUACAGGGUGACAGCCCCGUACACAAAAAUGCACAUAUUGUGAGCUCGAUGAGUAGGGCGGGACACGUGGUAUCCUGUCUGAAUAUGGGGGGACCAUCCUCCAAGGCUAAAUACUCCUGACUGACCGAUAGUGAACCAGUACCGUGAGGGAAAGGCGAAAAGAACCCCGGCGAGGGGAGUGAAAAAGAACCUGAAACCGUGUACGUACAAGCAGUGGGAGCACGCUUAGGCGUGUGACUGCGUACCUUUUGUAUAAUGGGUCAGCGACUUAUAUUCUGUAGCAAGGUUAACCGAAUAGGGGAGCCGAAGGGAAACCGAGUCUUAACUGGGCGUUAAGUUGCAGGGUAUAGACCCGAAACCCGGUGAUCUAGCCAUGGGCAGGUUGAAGGUUGGGUAACACUAACUGGAGGACCGAACCGACUAAUGUUGAAAAAUUAGCGGAUGACUUGUGGCUGGGGGUGAAAGGCCAAUCAAACCGGGAGAUAGCUGGUUCUCCCCGAAAGCUAUUUAGGUAGCGCCUCGUGAAUUCAUCUCCGGGGGUAGAGCACUGUUUCGGCAAGGGGGUCAUCCCGACUUACCAACCCGAUGCAAACUGCGAAUACCGGAGAAUGUUAUCACGGGAGACACACGGCGGGUGCUAACGUCCGUCGUGAAGAGGGAAACAACCCAGACCGCCAGCUAAGGUCCCAAAGUCAUGGUUAAGUGGGAAACGAUGUGGGAAGGCCCAGACAGCCAGGAUGUUGGCUUAGAAGCAGCCAUCAUUUAAAGAAAGCGUAAUAGCUCACUGGUCGAGUCGGCCUGCGCGGAAGAUGUAACGGGGCUAAACCAUGCACCGAAGCUGCGGCAGCGACACUAUGUGUUGUUGGGUAGGGGAGCGUUCUGUAAGCCUGCGAAGGUGUGCUGUGAGGCAUGCUGGAGGUAUCAGAAGUGCGAAUGCUGACAUAAGUAACGAUAAAGCGGGUGAAAAGCCCGCUCGCCGGAAGACCAAGGGUUCCUGUCCAACGUUAAUCGGGGCAGGGUGAGUCGACCCCUAAGGCGAGGCCGAAAGGCGUAGUCGAUGGGAAACAGGUUAAUAUUCCUGUACUUGGUGUUACUGCGAAGGGGGGACGGAGAAGGCUAUGUUGGCCGGGCGACGGUUGUCCCGGUUUAAGCGUGUAGGCUGGUUUUCCAGGCAAAUCCGGAAAAUCAAGGCUGAGGCGUGAUGACGAGGCACUACGGUGCUGAAGCAACAAAUGCCCUGCUUCCAGGAAAAGCCUCUAAGCAUCAGGUAACAUCAAAUCGUACCCCAAACCGACACAGGUGGUCAGGUAGAGAAUACCAAGGCGCUUGAGAGAACUCGGGUGAAGGAACUAGGCAAAAUGGUGCCGUAACUUCGGGAGAAGGCACGCUGAUACGUAGGUGAAGUCCCUCGCGGAUGGAGCUGAAAUCAGUCGAAGAUACCAGCUGGCUGCAACUGUUUAUUAAAAACACAGCACUGUGCAAACACGAAAGUGGACGUAUACGGUGUGACGCCUGCCCGGUGCCGGAAGGUUAAUUGAUGGGGUCAGCGCAAGCGAAGCUCUUGAUCGAAGCCCCGGUAAACGGCGGCCGUAACUAUAACGGUCCUAAGGUAGCGAAAUUCCUUGUCGGGUAAGUUCCGACCUGCACGAAUGGCGUAAUGAUGGCCAGGCUGUCUCCACCCGAGACUCAGUGAAAUUGAACUCGCUGUGAAGAUGCAGUGUACCCGCGGCAAGACGGAAAGACCCCGUGAACCUUUACUAUAGCUUGACACUGAACAUUGAGCCUUGAUGUGUAGGAUAGGUGGGAGGCUUGGAAGUGUGGACGCCAGUCUGCAUGGAGCCGACCUUGAAAUACCACCCUUUAAUGUUUGAUGUUCUAACGUUGACCCGUAAUCCGGGUUGCGGACAGUGUCUGGUGGGUAGUUUGACUGGGGCGGUCUCCUCCUAAAGAGUAACGGAGGAGCACGAAGGUUGGCUAAUCCUGGUCGGACAUCAGGAGGUUAGUGCAAUGGCAUAAGCCAGCUUGACUGCGAGCGUGACGGCGCGAGCAGGUGCGAAAGCAGGUCAUAGUGAUCCGGUGGUUCUGAAUGGAAGGGCCAUCGCUCAACGGAUAAAAGGUACUCCGGGGAUAACAGGCUGAUACCGCCCAAGAGUUCAUAUCGACGGCGGUGUUUGGCACCUCGAUGUCGGCUCAUCACAUCCUGGGGCUGAAGUAGGUCCCAAGGGUAUGGCUGUUCGCCAUUUAAAGUGGUACGCGAGCUGGGUUUAGAACGUCGUGAGACAGUUCGGUCCCUAUCUGCCGUGGGCGCUGGAGAACUGAGGGGGGCUGCUCCUAGUACGAGAGGACCGGAGUGGACGCAUCACUGGUGUUCGGGUUGUCAUGCCAAUGGCACUGCCCGGUAGCUAAAUGCGGAAGAGAUAAGUGCUGAAAGCAUCUAAGCACGAAACUUGCCCCGAGAUGAGUUCUCCCUGACCCUUUAAGGGUCCUGAAGGAACGUUGAAGACGACGACGUUGAUAGGCCGGGUGUGUAAGCGCAGCGAUGCGUUGAGCUAACCGGUACUAAUGAACCGUGAGGCUUAACCUU